rnacentral:rRNA from 1 species
GAUAAACGCUGGCGGCGUGCAUAACACAUGCAAGUCGAACGAUGAGGCUUAAAAGAUUUCUUCGGAAUGAACUUAACUGGAUUAUUGGCGGACGGGUGAGUAACGCGUGAGUAACCUGCCUUGUACAAGGGGAUAGCCGUUGGAAACGACGAAUAAUACCCUAUGACAUCAAAUAAUCGCAUGAUAAUGUUAUGAAAGAUUUUUGGGUAUAAGAUGGACUCGCGUCUGAUUAUCUGGUUGGUAGAGUAAACGCCUACCAAGGCAAAGAUCAGUAGCCGGCUUUGGAGGGUGUACGUGAACCUUAGGACUGGCACACGGCCCAAACCCCUACGGAAGGGAGCAAUGGGGAAGUAUGAACGAUGGGGGAAUGCUGAAUGCCGCGGGGCCGCAUGAUUUAGUAGGCGUUGAAGUUGUAAUAAGCUUUUGUCUAUGCAGAAAAUGACGGUACCAUACGAAUAAGAACCGGCUAACUACGUG